UGCAAGUCGAACGAACCUUCGGGUUAGUGGCGGACGGGUGAGUAACGCGUGGGAAUCUGCCCUCCGGAGGGGGAUAACGGCCGGAAACGGCCGCUAAUACCCCAUAUGCCGAGAGGUGAAACGAAUUUCGCCUGAGGAUGAGCCCGCGUCUGAUUAGCUAGUUGGUGUGGUAAUGGCUCACCAAGGCAUCGAUCAGUAGCUGGUCUGAGAGGAUGAUCAGCCACACUGGGACCGAGACACGGCCCAGACUCCUACGGGAGGCAGCAGUGGGGAAUUUUCCGCAAUGGGCGCAAGCCUGACGGAGCAACGCCGCGUGAGGGAUGAAGGCCUCUGGGCUGUAAACCUCUUUUCUCAAGGAAGAAGAUCUGACGGUACUUGAGGAAUAAGCCACGGCUAAUUCCGUGCCAGCAGCCGCGGUAAUACGGGAGUGGCAAGCGUUAUCCGGAAUUAUUGGGCGUAAAGCGUCCGCAGGCGGCCUUGAAAGUCUGUUGUUAAAACGUGGAGCUCAACUCCAUUUCGGCAAUGGAAACUACAAGGCUAGAGUGUGGUAGGGGCAGAGGGAAUUCCCGGUGUAGCGGUGAAAUGCGUAGAUAUCGGGAAGAACACCAGUGGCGAAGGCGCUCUGCUGGGCCAUAACUGACGCUCAUGAACGAAAGCCAGGGGAGCGAAGGGGAUUAGAUACCCCCUGUAGUCCUGGCCG
rnacentral:rRNA from 1 species